ensembl:lncRNA
GAAAACAAGUAACUUGAUUAAAAAAUGGGCAAACGACUUGAACAGACAUUUCUCAAAGGAAGACAUACAAAUGGCUAACAGGUUCAUUAAAAAAUGCUCAGCAUCACUAAUCACUAAGUAAAUGCAAAUUAAAACCACAAUGAGGUAUCACCUCACACCUGUUAGACUGGCUUUUAUCACAAUGAUCAAAGAUAACAUGUGUUGAUAAAGACACAGAAAAAAGGGAACACUUGUACACUGUUAGUAAGAAUGUAAAUUAGUACGGCUGUUAUGGAAAACAGUAUGGAGGUUCCUCAAAAAACUAAAAAUGUAACUUCCAUAUGAUCCAACUAUCCCACUUCUGAGAAUAUAUCCAAAGGAAUUAAAAUGACUGUGUUGAGGGGUAUCCUUUUAACAUGAACUCCCAUGUUUAUUGUAGUAUUAUGUACAAUAGCUAAGAUGUGGACUCAUUCUAAAUGUCCAUCAGUGGAUAAACAGAUAAAGAAAAUGAGGUGUAUGCACACAAUGGAAUACUAAUCAGCCUUUAAAAAGAAUGAAAUUCUGUCAUUUUGGACAACACAAAUGACUCUAGAGGAUACUAUGCUAAGUGAAAUAAGCCAGGCACAGAAAGAUAAAUACUGCAUGAUCUCAUUUAGAUGUGGAAUAUAAAAAAAGUUGAAUUCCUAGAAGAAUAAUGGUUCCCAGAGGCAGUGGGCAGAGGAGGUGUGAAGGAAUGGGGAAUUACUGGUCUGAGGGUACAAAGUUUCAGCUAAAUAAGAAGAAUAAGUUUUGAGAUCUACUGCACAGCAGGAUGACUGUAAUCAAUAAUAAUAUGUUGUAUAUUUCAAAAUAACUAAGAGAGUAAUUUCAAAUAUAUCACCACAAAAAUAUCAAGGAAGUGAAGUGAUGGAUAUAUUAAUUAGCUUGAUUUAAUCACUGAAUUGUAGACAUAUAUCAAAACAUCACAUUGUACUACAUAAAUGUAAUAUAAUUAUGAUUUGUUAAUUAAGCAUAAUUUAUAUCUUUUUAAAAAGAAACAUUGUAAUGUGGGGGCAAGAAAAGUGAAUAGCUCUGGAAAAGGAGGAAAUGAGAUUGCCUUGUGAGUUCCAAAAUAUUAGGACAAUACUUAGUGGAUCAAAGAUGAGGUAUGCAAAUUAUCCCGAACGAACUAAAUAAUCAAACGAAGGUAUGUACCUUAUUAGAAAAAUGAGAUGGGUGGUGUGGACACAUUGCAAAAGGAGAGUCAUAGAAGUACACACCCUGACAGUGCCUAUUCAAGUUCUGUCUAGGGACCCUGUCAGCCAGACACAGUAUCCAGGCAACCUCACAGAAGGAGCCUCACUGGAGAUGGACACCAUAGAUUGUCAUCAGAGUGUUGAAUCUUAGCUCAUCUCCUUUCCUCUAGCACCAUGUUCCCUAGGCAGCCUUCUGUUGACAACUCCCCAUACUGACUGUGUACAGGGAGGGAAUGUCAGGGUGAUGGAACAACAACUGGCCUAUUUGAUCAGAACACUCUGACCAAAGAAGGCUGCUUGUCCCCAUCCCUUGGUGUUCCUUUAUCCUGCCUUGUUUUUCCUCACGGUACUUUAUUGCCUGAUGUUACAGAUCUGUUUGUUGUGUGUUGCUUACCCUCCCCCAACCUUGACUCUGACGAUAAUGUAAGCUUCAAGUUUUCCUGUUCACUGCUGUGUCCCACACCUAGAACACUGCCUGGCAUUUAAUUGAAGCUUGAUAAAUAAUUGUAGGAUGAAUGGCUAAUUUUAUAUGUCAGUUUGAUGACAUCUCUGACAAAAUGAGGCAGCAUUCCAGAUUCUGAUCAACUCUGGGACAUCGAUGAGUUAGAGUUUGAGCCUGUAUUGUGAAAAGUGCUGAACUGACUAAGAAAAAUGGCAUCACGGGCAGACUUGUCUGGGUGGCCCAUGGCUUCCCUCAAGCCACUCCCCUCUGUUUCCUUUGUGCCGUCUUCGUGUGCCUCCAGUCUCAAAUACAAAUUAAUAACAGCAAAGGAAUACAAAUACAAAUCACUGAUGACAUCAGCUAUAAUAAUAACACUGAGGGCUUUCUAUAUGCCAGGCAUAGUUUUGUUACUUCUCGAAUUAGUUUAAUCAAGUAAAAUCCUGCCAACAAGACACCAGGAGUUUUGGCCCCAGGUUUGCCGUUAAACUGUGACCUUGAGGAAGUCUCUCCACCACUCCGAACCUCUGGUUUUUGUUUGUUGUUUGUUUGCUUUUUAGUUUUUAAUUUGUGAAAUAAAGGGUUGGACAAGAUCCAUAGAUUCUAAACUUUUUUCUUUUAGCAACAGCACCCUAUUUUCAAACAAGUUCUUCAUCAGAACUCCCUACGUGAAAAGAUAAAAGCACCCUGUCUGUGGUUGAAGCUCCCUGGCCUUGCACCUGCUUCCCUGCGGCAAUCCUUGAGACAGCUCCUCAGAAAGCCCAGGAAAACAGAUUAAAAGCUCCCGGAGCCCCUCUCAUGUUCUCCAAAGGCCAGACCAAGAAUGAAGCAGAGUGUUGUUUCAUGGCUCUACUCAGGGGGAAAGAAACCCUUUGUGAUUGGAAACAAGAUAUCACUGGCUGGGGAACUUCCUCUCUGCUCCAACAGAACAGAAGAGUAGGUGAAGUGUAGGGAUUCCCAAACUUUAGCUUAGAGUAGCAUCACCCGGGGACCUUGAUAAGCAGGUGGAUUCACAGGCCACACCCUGCUUUCCCCCAUCGUGACUCAGUGAGUCCGAAUCAGUGUUUUUGUUUGUUUUUUGAGACAGAAUCUUGCACCGUCACCCAGGCUGGAGUGCAGUGGUGCGAUCUCUGCUCACUGCAACCUCUGCCUCCUGGGUUUGAGUGAUUCUCCUGCCUCAGCCUCGCGAGUCGCUGGGAUUACGGGCACUUGCCACCAUGCCCGGCUAAUUUUUUGUAUAUUUAGUAGAGACGGGGUUUCACUAUGUUGGCCAGGUUGGUCUUGAACUCCUGACCUUGUGAUCUGCCCUCCUUGGCCUCCCAAAGUACUGGGAUUAUAGGCGUGAGCCACCACGCCUGGCCUGAGUAAGCGUUUUAACUAGCUCUCAGCUUGAUUGUGAUGCAGGUUGUAUGAAACCUACAUUUUGAGAGCAAUAAGCAUCAGGGAGUCACAGGACAUGCAAUUGAGAAGAACAUGAGCCUAGUCCAUUUUAGGAAAGAAGGGCAGACAUAUUGUGCUUACGAGGUAAAUUGAGGGAAGGGUAUGUGUGUGCAUGAACCAAUCUGAGAUAUGUGAAGCCUGAGAGACAAGGAAUGGGUUGCCCUUGCAGUGUGGUUAAGGGGAUCAGCCUGGCGUGUUCCAUCUCUGCAUAUGUAACAGGCUGGUCUGGGGAAAGGGCGGCUGGCAUGGAAAACACCAAGCUGGGUUGUACCUCCCAACAGCAAUGCUUGCAGUCUCUUUAGACUAUGGGCUGAUUGGUGCCGCCAGCUAACAUUCUUGAAUAAAACCUAUUCACGUGUC